ACCUUACAUUAUUCGCAUGUUUGAUGUAAGAAAGAUUUUAUCGGUGUAAGAUGGACCCGCGUCUGAUUAGCUAGUUGGUGUGGUAACGGCAUACCAAGGCGACGAUCAGUAGCCGGCCUGAGAGGGUGAACGGCCACAUUGGGACUGAGAUACGGCCCAGACUCCUACGGGAGGCAGCAGUGGGGAAUAUUGCACAAUGGAGGCAACUCUGAUGCAGCGACGCCGCGUGAGUGAAGAAGUAUUUCGGUAUGUAAAGCUCUAUCAGUAGGGAAGAUAAUGACGGUACCUACAGAAGAAGCCCCGGCUAAAUACGUGCCAGCAGCCGCGGUAAUACGUAUGGGGCAAGCGUUAUCCGGAUUUACUGGGUGUAAAGGGAGUGUAGGCGGCAGUACAAGUCAGGAGUGAAAACUUGGGGCUCAACCCCAAGACUGCUUUUGAAACUGUACAGCUAGAGUGUAGGAAGGGCAAGCGGAAUUCCUGGUGUAGCGGUGAAAUGCGCAGAUAUCAGGAAGAACACCGGUGGCGAAGGCGGCUUGCUGGACUAUAACUGACGCUGAGACUCGAAAGCGUGGGGAGCGAACAGGAUUAGAUACCCUGGUAGUCCACGCUGUAAACGAUGAAUACUAGGUGUUGGGUCU
rnacentral:rRNA from 1 species